rnacentral:tRNA from 1 species
GAUGGGCCAUACGGAGCUGCUAACUCUCAAUACCGGGCCCAACCGCCCGGACCCAUCCAA